UACCAUGCAGUCGAACGAUGAUCUCCAGCUUGCUGGGGGGAUUAGUGGCGAACGGGUGAGUAACACGUGAGUAACCUGCCCUUGACUCUGGGAUAAGCCUGGGAAACUGGGUCUAAUACCGGAUAUGACCAUUCCGCGCAUGCGGUGGUGGUGGAAAGCUUUUGCGGUUUUGGAUGGACUCGCGGCCUAUCAGCUUGUUGGUGGGGUAAUGGCCUACCAAGGCGACGACGGGUAGCCGGCCUGAGAGGGUGACCGGCCACACUGGGACUGAGACACGGCCCAGACUCCUACGGGAGGCAGCAGUGGGGAAUAUUGCACAAUGGGCGCAAGCCUGAUGCAGCGACGCCGCGUGAGGGAUGACGGCCUUCGGGUUGUAAACCUCUUUCAGUAGGGAAGAAGCGAAAGUGACGGUACCUGCAGAAGAAGCGCCGGCUAACUACGUGCCAGCAGCCGCGGUAAUACGUAGGGCGCAAGCGUUAUCCGGAAUUAUUGGGCGUAAAGAGCUCGUAGGCGGUUUGUCGCGUCUGCUGUGAAAGACCGGGGCUCAACUCCGGUUCUGCAGUGGGUACGGGCAGACUAGAGUGAUGUAGGGGAGACUGGAAUUCCUGGUGUAGCGGUGAAAUGCGCAGAUAUCAGGAGGAACACCGAUGGCGAAGGCAGGUCUCUGGGCAUUAACUGACGCUGAGGAGCGAAAGCAUGGGGAGCGAACAGGAUUAGAUACCCUGGUAGUCCAUGCCGUAAACGUUGGGCACUAGGUGUGGGGGACAUUCCACGUUUUCCGCGCCGUAGCUAACGCAUUAAGUGCCCCGCCCUGGGGAGUACGGCCGCAAGGCUAAAACUCAAAGAAAUUGACGGA
rnacentral:rRNA from 2 species